rnacentral:lncRNA from 1 species
UGCUUGCAGGAACAAAGACCUUCGUGGUCAGGUUGAUCGUGCCCCCGCGUGAUCAAUAACCCUAUGGAGUUGGUGUAUCGAUUGCUAAGACGCUGCUUCCUAGGCCGUAGUCGCAUCGUCAACGUCACCUCCUACCCAAAUGGAGAGUUAUCAAUCUCAUCAAAAGAUCGGGCCACCCCGACCCACAUCAACUAAGGGACCAUGCCUAGGUUGUCCGUACAAUGGUCCAAUGUUGUUUCGUUUCGGUGAGUAGCUUUGCUUGGUGUGCUCAUCCUAGUACCCGAAAUGGACCCGACUCCGAUUAGAAGUUUAGCACCGACUCCGAUCUGGCCGAAUGGUCCGUCCUAGUGAGGGACGAUGCCUAGCGAGUCCCUACAAGUGGUCUAGUCCUGCUUCGCUUCGAUGAGUAGCUUUGCUUAGUGUGCUCAUCCUAGUACCCGAAAUGGACCCGACUCCGAUUAGAAGUUUAGCACCGACUCCGAUCUGGCUGAAUUGUCCGUCCUAGUGAGGGACCAUGCCUAGCGGGUCCGUACAAGUGGUCUAGUCUUAUUUCGCUUCGAUGAGUAGCUUUGCUUUGUGUGCUCAUCCUAGUACCCUAAAUGGACCCGACUCCGAUUAGAAGUUUAGCACCGACUCCGAUCUGGCUGAAUUGUCCGUCCUAGUGAGGGAGCAUGCCUAGCGAGUCCAUACAAGUGGUAUAGUCUUGUUUCGCUUCGAUGAGUAGAUUUGUUUGGUUUGCUCCUCCUAGUACGUCAAACGGGCCCGUUCCAGAUCAAAGUUUAGCACGGACUCCGAUGUGGCUGAAUUUUCCGCCCUAGUAGGGGAACAUGCCUAGCGAGUCCCUACAAGUGGUCUAGUCUUGUUUUGCUUCGAUGAGUAGCUUUGUUUGGUGUGCUCGUCCUAAUACCUUAAAUGGACACAUUCCGGAUCAAAGUUUAGCACCGACUUUGAUUUGGCUGGAUUGUCCGUUCUAGUUAGAGGCCAUGGCUAGCGAGUCCCUACAAGUGGUCUAGACUUGUUUCCCUUUGAUGAGUAGCUUUGUUUUGUGUUCUCAUCUUAUAACGUCAAAAGGACCCGUUCCGGAUCAAAGUUUAGCAAAGACUCUGAUUUGGCUGAAUUUUCCGUCCUAGUGAGGAAACAUGUCUAGCGAGUCCCUACAAGUGGUCUAGUCUUGUUUCGCUUCGAUUAGUAGCUUUGUUCGUUGUGCUCAUCCUAAUAACUUAAAUGGACACGUUACGGAUCAAAGUUUAGCACCGACUUCGAUUUGGCUGGAUUGUCCGCCCCAGUGAGAGGCCAUGGCUGAUAUGGGUCGUGGUGGCCCGAUCUUUCGAUGAGAUUGGUAACUCUCGAUUUGGGUUGGAGGUGACGUUGACGAUCCGACUAUGGCCUAGGAGGCAGCGCCUUAGCAAUCGAUACACCAACUCCAGAGGGUUAUUGAUCACGCGGGGGCACGAUCAACCUGACCACGAAGGUCUUUGUUCCUGCAAGCAAUCGAAGAACAAGCAAGAACAAGAUAAAUAGCGGAUGCAAUCUAAAAUUGCGAAUAUACUAUAUCAAACCAAUGUCCCAACGAGACGAUAAGUUGGAGUCUUGACGACGGUAAAACAGGUGGUCUAACCGACACACGCGAUUACACGAAAGUAGCAAAGAUGGCUAAACUUUAUCUAAUCAAAACCCAAGGCUCCUUAGGGGGGGCUCAUGGGGUAUAUAAAGGAGGAGGGAGAGAUAUUUUCGUCCACCUUGAGUAAGGAGGCCGAAAUCCAACUCUAUCUCUAACUUUCCUAACAAACUACAACUCUUUAGGAAACAGAAAAACAGAUCCGUCAGCUUGUUUUGUCCAUCACGGUCAGCACGAGUCGAAUCUCUUGAUGUGGCCAGAUCCGUUGGAAAGGUCUUGUAAUUACCUUUUGAACAAGUACUUGUUUGCUUGAUUUGGACUCCGGAUGCUGCCUGGGUGAUUAAAACAAAUUCGGGUCUCCUGGCAGCUCGGACCCGAAUCGGAUUCAACUUUAAUUCGUGAUAUCUUUCUCUAGCAAGCUCCGAAUCAUGUGCCGUUUGAUUUGUGUGAAAAUACACUUGAAAUCCUUCCCUCUCAGCUGUAUGAAUGCUUGAUUCUUGUUGUGCCUCCCGUUCGCCUCCAUCAUAUCUCAUCUUGACCUUGGAUUUGAAAAGCUCGACAAGAUGCCUACGUAAUAAAACGAGACAAGAUAGUAGUAGCUCCGCCUCUUCAUAAAUAUGACAAUGAAAACAAUUACUACUUAAAUUCACCUGAUUAUAAAUCUUGUCAAAUAUUAUAGAAUUGAGGGUAUCAAAGGUCGUAUCCAUGGUUAGCAUGUCCAUAUCAAUGGCUAGCGAGUCCCUACAAGUGGUCUAGACUUGUUUCCCUUUAAUGAGUAGCUUUGUUUGGUGUGCUCAUCUUAUUACGUCAAAAGGACCCGUUCCGGAUAAAAGUUUAGCACCGACUCCGAUUUGGCUGAAAUUUCUGUCCUAGUGAGGGAAAAUAACUAGCGAGUCCCUACAAGUGGUGUAGUCUUGUUUCGCUUCGAUGAGUAACUUUGUUUGGUGGGCUCAUCCCAGUACCUCAAAUGGACCCGUUCUGGAUCAAAGUUUAGCACCGACUCCGAUUUGCCGCAUUGUCCGCCCCAGUGAGGGACCAUGCCUAGCGAGUGCCUACAAGCGGUCUACUCUUGUAUCGCUUCGAUGAGUAGCUUUUUUUGGUGGGCUCAUCCUAGUAUCUCAAAUGGACACGUUCUGGAUCAAAGUUUAGCACUGACUCUGAUUUGGCCGCAUUGUCCGCACCAGUGAGGGACCAUGCCUAGCGAGUCCCUACGAGCGGUCUACUGUUGUAUCGCUUCGAUGAGUAGCUUUGUUUGGUUGGCUCAUCCUAGUAUCUCAAAUGGACACGUUCUGGAUCAAAGUUUAGCACCGACUCCGAUUUCGCCGAACUGUCCCUCAUACUGAGUGACCAUGCCUAGCGAGUCCGUACCAGUGGUCUAGUUUUGAUUCGCUUAGAUGAGUAGUUUUUUUUGGUGUGAUCAUCCUAGUACCUCAAAUGGACAUGUUCCGGAUAAAAGUUUAGCACCGACUCCGAUUUGGCCGAAUUGUACGUCUUAGUGAAGGACCAAGCCUAGCGAGUCCCUACAAGUGGUCUAGUCUUGUUUCGUUUCGAUGAGUAGCUUUGUUUGGUGGGCUAAUCCCACUACCUCAAAUGGACACGUUCUGGAUCAAAGUUUAGCACCGUCUACGAUUUGGCCGCAUUGUCCGCCCCAAUGAGGGACCAUGCCUAGCGAGUCCCUAAAAGUGGUCUACCUUGUAUCGCUUCGAUGAGUAGCUUUGUUUGGUGGGCUCAUCCUAGUAUCUCAAAUGGACACGUUCUGGAUCAAAGUUUAGCACAGACUCCGAUUUGGCCGAACUGUCCGUCCUACUGAGGGACCAUGCCUAGCGAGUCCGUACCAGUGGUCUAGUUUUGAAUCCCUUAUGUGAGUACCUUUAUUUGGUGUGCUCAUCCUAGUACCUCAAAUGGACACGUUCCGGAUAAAAGUUUAGCACCGACUUUGAUUUGGCUGGAUUGUCCGUUGUAGUGAGACGCCAUGGCUCGCGAAUCCUAACAAGUGGUCUAGACUUGUUUCCCUUUGAUGAGUAGCUUUGUUUGGUGUGCUCAUCAUAUAACGUCAAAAGGACCCGUUCCGGAUAAAAGUUUAGCACCGACUCCGAUUUGGCUGAAUUUUCCGCCCUAGUAGGGGAACAUGCCUAGCGAGUCCCUACAAGUGGUCUAGUCUUGUUUUGCUUCGAUGAGUAGCUUUGUUUGGUGUGCUCGUCCUAAUACCUUAAAUGGACACAUUCCGGAUCAAAGUUUAGCACCGACUUCGAUAUGGCUGGAUUGUCCGUUCUAGUUAGAGGCCAUGGCUAGGGAGUCCCUACAAGUGGUCUAGACUUGUUUCCCUUUGAUGAGUAGCUUUGUUUUGUGUUCUCAUCUUAUAACGUCAAAAGGACCCGUUCCGGAUCAAAGUUUAGCACCGACUCCGAUUUGGCUGAAUUUUCCGCCCUAGUGAGGGAACAUGCCGAGCGAGUCCGUACAAGUGGCCUAGUCUUGUUUCGCUUCGAUGAGUAGCUUGGUUUGGUGGGCUCAUCCCAGUACCUCGAAUGGACACGUUCUGGAUUAAAGUUUAGCACCGACUCCGAUUUGGCCGCAUUGUGCGCCCCAGUGAGGGACCAUGCCUAGCGAGUCCCUACGAGCGGUCUACUCUUGUAUCGCUUGGAUGAGUAGCUCUGUUUGGUUGGCUCACCCUAGUAUCUCAAAUGGACACAUUCUGGAUCAAAGUUUAGCACCGACUCCGAUUUUGCCGAACUGUCCCUCCUACUGAGGGACCAUGCCUUGCGAGUCCGUACCAGUGGUCUAGUUUUAAUUCGCUUAGAUGAGUAGUUUUGUUUGGUGUGAUCAUCCUAGUACCUCAAAUGGACACGUUCCGGAUAAAACUUUAGCACCGACUCUGAUUUGGCUGAAUUGUACGUCUUAGUGAAGGACCAUGCCUAGCGAGUCCCUAUAAGUGGUCUAGUCUUGUUUCGUUUCGAUGAGUAGCUUUGUUUGGUGGGCUCAUCCCAAUACCUCAAAUGGACACGUUCUGGAUCAAAGUUUAGCACCGACUAUGAUUUGGCCGCAUUGUCCGCCCCAAUGAGGGACCAUGCCUAGCGAGUCCCUACAAGUGGUCUAGUCUUGUUUCGCUUCGAUGAGUAGUUUUACUUGGUGUGCUCAUCCUAGUACCUCAAAUGGACACGUUCCGGAUAAAAGUUUAGCACCGACUUUGAUUUGGCUGGAUUGUCCGUUGUAGUGAGACGCCAUGGCUAGCGAAUCCUAACAAGUGGUCUAGACUUGUUUCCCUUUGAUGAGUAGCUUUGUUUCGUGUGCUCAACUUAUAACGUCAAAAGGACCCGUUCCGGAUAAAAGUUUAGCACCGACUCCGAUUUGGCUGAAAUUUCUGUCCUAGUGAGGGAAAAUGCCUAGCGAGUCCCUACAACUGGUCUAGCCUUGUUUCGCUUCGAUGAGUAGCUUUGUUUGGUUGGCUCAUCCCAGUACCUCAAAUGGACACGUUCUGGAUCAAAGUUUAGCGCCGACUCCGAUUUGGCCGCAUUGUGCGCCCCAGUGAGGGACCAUGCCUAGCGUGUCCCUACAAGCGGUGAUAUGGACAUGCUAACCAUGGAUACGACCAUUAGAACCCUAAUUGUUGGUGUCUCUAAUAAUUAUAAUCUGGUGAAUUCAAUUACAAAAUGUUUUCAAUAUGUUAUUUGCAAAGAGGCGGAGCUACUAUCUUGUGUUAUCUUAUUAUGUAGGCAUCUUAUUGAACUUUACAAGUCCAAAGUGAAGAUGAAGAGUUAUAGCCUGCAAAGGGAGAUUCAAAGUGAAGCCUAUCAAGUCUACUUUCCAACAAAUCAAACGGCACAUGAUUCGGAGCUUGCUAGAGAAAGAUAUCACGAAUUAAAGUUGAAUCCGAUUCGGAUCCGAGCUGUCAGGAGACCCGAAUUUGUUUUAAUCACCCAGGCCGCAUCCGGAGUCCAAAUCAAGCAAACAAGUACUUGUUGGAAAGUUAAUUACAAGACCUUUCCAACGGAUCUGGCCCCAUCAAGAGAUUCGACUCGUGCUGACCGUGGCGGACAAAACAAGCAGACGGAUCUGUUUUUGUGUUUUUCCUAAAGAGUUGUACUUUGUUAGGAAAGUUAGAGAUAGAGUUGGAUUUCGGACUCCUUAUUCAAGGUGAACGAAAAUAUCUCUCCCUCCUCCUUUAUAUACCCCAUGAGCCCCCCUAAGGAGCCUUGGGUUUUGUUUAGUUAAAAGUUAGCCAUCGCUAAUACUUCGUGUAAUCGCAUGUGUCGGUUAGACCACCUGUUUUACCGCUUUCGGAACCCCAACUUAUCGUCUCGUUGAGAUAUUGGUUUGAUAUAGUAUAUUCGCAAUUUUAGAUUGCAUCCGCUAUUUAUCUUGUUCUUGCUUCUUCUUCGAUUGCUUGCAGGAACAAAGACCUUCGUGGUCAGGUUGAUCGUGCCCCCGCGUGAUCAAUAACCCUCUGGAGUUGGUGUAUCGAUUGCUAAGGCGCUGCCUCCUAGGCCGUAGUCGGAUCGUCAACGUCACCUCCUACCCAAAUCGAGAGUUACCAAUCUUAUCGAAAGAUCGGGCCACCCGCACCCGUAUCAAGUGGUAUCAGAGCUUAAGGUUGCUCGGUGAGAUUUUUCCAGUUUAUCCCUAGUUUAGAUCUGUUUUUACCUAUCGCCCAGAAAAAGCCAACAAAAAUUAGAAUUAGUUACCUUGUCCUAUAACCAAUCUGAGCCUUGCAAUUUUCACUUUAGUAUUUGCAUUGUUGAAUCUUUGCUGCAUUAAUCGUGUCGAGUUGCUGGAUUAGAUUGGAUCGUUUUUCAGAUUUUUUUCUACUAGAUCGAACUUGCUUUUGGUUUUCUUGUUCUUCGUGUGACGCAGGUUUCCUUCAUCAAUCUUCCGCCGCCAAACUUCCUGCCACACCACCGCCAUAAUCUCCCGCCGCCACCAUAUCUUCCACCGAGUCUCUCUUCGAGUCCUACACCGAGUCCCUCUUCGACUCCUACACCGAGUCCCUCGUCGAGUCCUACACCGUGUCCUACAUCGAGUUCUACAUUGAGUCGGGCAAGUUAUAGUUUUCAGCCGCAAGUUCGAGUCUGAGUCCAAUCAAGAGUGCUUUUGGAAAGUUUUCAUAAUAGAUCGAAUUUUGUUUAGAGAUCAAGUGGUUCGGAAAGUUGUCAAAAAAAAAGAAAGGAAAGAAAAAAAAGGAAAGAAAGAAAAAAAAAAGAAAAAAAAAAAGAGAAAGAGUUCGAGUCAGUUUCGGACCCGAGUCCGAGUAGAAUUUUAGUUUCGGGUGGGUUUGACCCGUGUUCAGUAAAACGGGCGUAUCUUUUGCGUACCAACUCGGAUUUGGACGUUCUUGGACUUUUUGGAAAGCUCGCGACGAGGCGCAUCAGGAAAUAUCCAGGGUUUUUCCCUGCACUUUGAACCUCAAAUUCGGUUUGUAAGGUGGACUUUCGGAGCUUCCAAGUUUCCGCAUCCGUUUUCCGGCGUCGCUGCAGCCCGGUGUUUCUCAGUUUUCUCCACCGUCCGACAUCCGUUUUGAGUGAUCUUGCCCUUGCUAGAAAGCUUGUGUUGAUACGCUUCUAACCCAUAUUUUUUCAUAUUUUUCUGAAUUUUUCUUACUGCAGCCUUUGCUGUUCUUCGACAGACCGACGUACAGUUUUCCGGUCCUUCGUUUGCGUGAGUUUCUGGGGUUAAAAAAAAAAGAAGAAGAAGAAAAGAAUAAGAAGCCAAACAGAAGGCCACAAAAAGAAAAAAGAAGAAAAAAAUCCCAGCGAUUUACUUGUUGUGCCAUCUUUUGAUCUUUCUAUCCUAUCUUCUUCAGUAUCUAGGCUUAGAUUAUUUCUGUAAUUCAUUCUUAUCGACUCCAGCAGCUAGGACUAGCAUUAUUGAGCAUAUUUUCAACUUUGCAUUGCUGAUUUGAUUAUUUGCUAUUCUUUGCUACUCACAAAAGUCUCCAAGCUCCACAGAUUCUACACCUAGGUUUGUUUGUUACCGAGGCAUCGAUACAUUUAAUCUUCGGAGGGCUUGGUCACGCCGCUGGCCAUCACCUUCCUAUUUUGCAUGGUAAGAACUUGUAAGAACUUGAUUUUUAGAUUAAGAGUUGAGCGACUUGUAGCCACAUCCUAUUAGUUGAUAGGAACAUAUUCCUGUGUUUUGUUUCUUGUCUUAUACUAACCAUGACAGGACUUACACAAAGGAUGGAAAAUAGGCCUAUGCUAUCAAGUGACCAACAUGAGCGUUUUUCACCACAUCCAUCCUCCUCGUCUCUUGUUGACAUUGGCAAGGAAAAGGUAUAUCGCAAUCCUUGUAAUGUCACUAAUUGUUUUGGACCUUUCUUUGAUGGAAAUAAUGAUGCUGAAGCUUAUAUUGAUUGGGAAAUAGCUCUAAUUGAGCAAUUCACAUGCUUCCAUGUACUAGAUAGUCGUAAGGUCCAAAUUGCUAGUAGUAGAUUUCGUUUUGAUGCAUUAUCAUGGUGGCGUGAGAUAGUUAGAGAAAACAAAAUACCUCACACUUGGAUUGAUAUGAAGAAAAUCA